UACGAAGGGGGCUAGCGUUGCUCGGAAUCACUGGGCGUAAAGGGUGCGUAGGCGGGUCUUUAAGUCAGAGGUGAAAUCCUGGAGCUCAACUCCAGAACUGCCUUUGAUACUGAGGAUCUUGAGUUCGGGAGAGGUGAGUGGAACUGCGAGUGUAGAGGUGAAAUUCGUAGAUAUUCGCAAGAACACCAGUGGCGAAGGCGGCUCACUGGCCCGGUACUGACACUGAGGUGCGA
rnacentral:rRNA from 1 species